UCAUUUCUGCGGCAGAGCUCAGGCUGUAGAUCAAGUUUCUGCAGAGGAUGGAAGGGUCGGUUCUUGAGAGACUGGACUCAUUACCAUCACCAUCAUGAGAAACCAAGGAAGGUGUGGGGCUCUUUGCAUCAGCAACAUUUGGAGAACUGGAGUUUCUGGAGAGCUCAUUCCGGCAACUUUAUAUCACCAUCAUAGAAGCUUUUUUCAUCCAACAGAUGGGAAGCAAAAUCAACAUGGAACACACCGAUCCAUCUCUAAUGGAACUGUUUAAUAGCUGUCCAGUCAACUACAGAUCAAAUAAAAACAGGACUGAGGGCCUCAGUCAACUCCAUACUUAAACAACUUGGCCCUUUUGUCCUAUUACCAAAGCCUGUUUGCUUUGGAUUACAAUAAAAUAGCCAACUAUCCAUCUUUAACAAUAAGCCCCAUGACCUAUGUCUUGUUUUGUAGGAUGCCUUUGGCUCAAACAAAGAUAAAUACAUUGAAGCUUGGAACUAAUUAUUAAGACACUUUUAGUGUCUCAACCAGGAUUUUUUUUUGGCACUACUGGCCUUUAUAUUUGUUAUUUUUCAAAUGUAAGCAGACAGGAAGUGGGGUAGAGUGAGGAGGAAGACAUGCAGCACAGGCCUUCAGGGUCGGGACUCGAACCAUCAAUCACUGUGUUGGGGACGGAAACCUUCUUAUGGGUGAAGCGCCAUGCCCCAGGAUUAUGUUUUCAUUUAUUCCUUCAACAGGAUACAAAACUCAAACACACAAACCGUUUACACCACAGGAAACAUAUCUAAAAAUAAAAUCACCAAAAACAAUUGAAAAUACUGACUUUAUUAAAUAAAGCUCAACAACACGCAAAACUUAAAAACAUGUUCUUUCUAAUUAGAUGAAAAACCAAAAUUAUUUAAACUCAGUUUAAGAUUAAUGAGUUUACUUCCUGUUGUAACUGUGGUUAAAACCUGAGCUGUGACACACAAACUGUGAGAGCUUAUAUUAAAUGAAACAAACCCAAACUAGAACAGGGGAGGAAGGAAAAUAAUCUGAUGGCUGUUUCCAGUCAGUAGGGUUCAGUUUGGUAAAGGGAAACCUCCAGACAAAGAAUGACUACCAGAACAGAAAAAUCAAAGCAAUCUGCCAGAUAAAAAGAAACCAAACAAAGAAAUGAAAGACAAACAGGAAUAAGUCUGAGGGCAAACUGUAAAAAACCAGUUGAAGCAAAACUGGAACCAUCAUUUUUACCUAAACAGGAAAGAACAAGGUUCCAGUGGGCUGACAUUAAGCAGUCAAGGACUGGAUGAUUGGACAAAAGUGGGAUUGAGAGAUAAAUCCCGAAAAUGAUGAUGGAACUUCCCAUCCUUAUGAAAGUUGUAAAGAUGGGUGAGUGAAGAUAAGCAGCACAUUUCAGUCAGAGUCAGGGAUGGGCUGGAAGUGCAGGGCAGGUAAAGCAGCAGGACGAUCUACUUGACUGGACAUUUUCAUGACCAUAAACUGUCUCUCCACAGAGCAGGUUCUGGUCAACCUUUCCUUCAGGAACCACAGAUGAGCUGAAUGAUGUAGCACUCAAAAGGUCCAGUUUCAAACAUUAUGAAGUUCUGAUAAGACGUUAAAACAGAGGAACGGGACAUGACGUCUAAUGCAGAACUGCUGUUUUAAUGAUCGACAAACAGAUGUGUCAGGUUUAUCAGGUUUAUUUUUGGUUUUCCUUUGAUAAAAAUAAGCUGCUGUCCCCAAACAUGAAGACCAACAUGUUGGGAAUAUUUUAAAUCACCACGGUCGUGUGCUGUUGGUCUUUAUUGUCUCAUUCUGGAAGCAAGUCCGGGUCAUGAAUAACACCACCAGAUCUUCCACUCUUCUACAUCACCUGAACAUGUUCUGAAACAGAAUAAACCUGUUUCUCCAA